GUGGCACAAUGGUUAAGCGCUCAGCUGUUAACUGAAAGUUUGGUGGUUCGAGCCCACCC
rnacentral:tRNA from 1 species